rnacentral:rRNA from 1 species
GAGUAACACGUAGUUGACCUGCCCCUCAGCGGGGGACAACAGCUCGAAAGGGCUGCUAAUACCGCAUGAUUUUACAGUGACUAGAAGGCUGUAAAUAAACUUACGGGGCUGAGGGAGGGAGCUGCGGCCCAUCAGCUAGUUGGUAGGGUAGUGGCUUACCAAGGCGACGACGGGUAGGGGGCCUGAGAGGGUGACCCCCCACACUGGAACAGACAUACGGUCCAGACUCCUACGGGAGGCAGCAGUAAGGGAUAUUGGGCAAUGGGCGAAAGCCUGACCCAGCAACGCCGCGUGGAGGAUGACGGUUUUCGGACUGUAAACUCCUUUUGCACGGGACGAGGAAGGACGGUACCGUGCGAAUAAGUCUCGGCUAACUACGUGCCAGCAGCCGCGGUAAAACGUAGGAGGCGAGCGUUAUCCGGAUUUACUGGGCGUAAGGGGUGUGCAGGCGGGUCGUUAAGUGGUGCAUGAAAGCCACAGGCUCAACCUGUGGAGGAUGUGCCAGACUGGCGGUCUUGAGUGUGUGAGAGGGACGUGGAAUUCCGGGUGUAGUGGUGAAAUGCGUAGAGAUCCGGAGGAACACCAGAGGCGAAGGCGGCGUCCUGGCACACAACUGACGCUGAGACACGACAGCAUGGGGAGCGAACGGGAUUAGAAACCCCGGUAGUCCAUGCCGUAAACGAUGGAUGCUAGGCGCUGGACGGCUCAACCCGUUCGGUGUCGAAGGAAACCUGCUAAGCAUCCCGCCUGGGGAGUACGGUCGCAAGGCUAAAACUCAAAGGAAUUGACGGAAUCGAAUU